AUUGAACGCUGGCGGCAGGCCUAACACAUGCAAGUCGAGCGCGCGGCGGACGGGUGUGUAAUGUAUGGGGACUCCCCGAUAGAUGGGGGUAACUACUGUAAAAGGUAUCUAAUACCGCAUCUUCUCGGCUAUCCCAUAUGGGAUUAGCUCGUAGGUGAGGUAAUGGCUCACCUAGGCGACGCUCCCUCGCUGGUCUGAGAGGAUGAUCAGCCACACUGGGACUGAGACACGGCCCAGACUCCGACGGAGGCAGCAGUGGGGAAUAUUGCAAAAUGGGCGCAAGCCUGAUGCAGUCAUGCCGCGUGUAGGAAGAAGGCCCUAGGGUUGUAAAGUACUUUCAGUCGGGAGGCGUUACCGACAGAAGAAGCACCGGCUAACUCCGUGCCAGCAGCCGCGGUAAUUC
rnacentral:rRNA from 1 species